CCACAACUGCAUCCAUGGAGAUCCUUCUGCCUGGCACAGCUGUGCUCAGCCAGCAUGGAGCUUUUAUAACACUACCUGCACAUUUAACAUGUCCUUCUUUGAAUCAUCAUUGACUGAUCUGUCAGGUAACAGGAAACAAAGAACUGCCAGUGUCUCACAGCUCAGAGCUGAAAUAAUUUAGAAACCAAAGUGACUAUCUAAUGGGCAUGCAUACUUCCCCAGCUUUACCAUAGAUUCUUAAAGAAAGUUGUUAGGACAGUAUAUAUAAGAAAUAAAUAAACCUUAAAAAAAAGAAAGUUGUUAGAACAACAUUCAAAUAAGAAACAUGUUUCAAUAGUUAUCCUAUCCUAAGGAGUCAUGCUGAUUGUAAUUCUAAUUUUUAUGUAUAUUUGUUCUUAUUGUAUAUAGUUUUGUGUUAGGCUUAGAACUCUCUUAUUUUGACAAAAGAGGGAAGUGCUGUGGGAUCUCCUUCGGCUAAUAGCCUUUAAGAUAGUGGCCCACGUUGGAUGAAAUUUCAUGUUAUAAAUGCAACUGAAAAGCAUGGAAUGGACCUCUUUGCUGCUGUAUUUGGUUCCAGUUCCCAAAGCAUGCGGAGGACUGUGGAUUGGUACCCUCACUAACCUUCAUCUGGUGAUGGAUCGAGAUAGAGACAGAGACCCAAAUUGGAGCACCAGACUAAGCUCUUAAGACCCAAAUGAGGAGCAGAAGGAGGGAGAACAUGAGCAAGAAAGUCAGGUCCACGAGGGGUGCACCCACCCGCUGUGACAGUUGAUCUGAUCUAUUAGGAGCUCAUCAAGGCCAGCGGGACUGGGACUGAAUAAGCAUGGGAUGAAACCGGACUCCCUGAACGUGGCGGACAAUGAAGGCUGAUGAGAAGCCAAGGACAAUGGCACUAGGUUUCAAUCCUAAUACAUGAACUGGCUGUGUGGGAGCCUAGCCUGUUUGGAAGCUCACCUUCCUGGUCCUGGAUAGAAGUGGGAGGACCUUGGACUUUCCGCAGGGCAGGGAACCUGGACUGCUCAUC